GGGAAAGAUGCGGGACAUACUGCAGAGUUCACUAAUUUCAGAAACAGUUGGUCUCUUCAGCCCUGAGGUUAAGGGGAUAGUUCACCUUCAGUUGCUUUUCCACAUUGAUUUGCAUAUAGUGUUUUUUUCCCAUACCAUGGAAGUCAAUGGGGACCAGCAACUGAAGGUGAACUAUCCCUUUAAGAAGUUAUUUGAUCUGGCACAAUGGCAAUAGAUAGGAUACCUUGUGUCAGCAGCUACAAUGCAGAGUGUUCUGGUGCAGUCGGGCAGAAAGGGCAAAGGACAUGACCGCCUGCCUGGCAAUGUCGUUUCAGCGAGCGCUCAACGACUGGCAGGGUGGAUGUGCCACUUUGCCACAAGGGGAAGGAAUCACUAAAGAGCCAGAGAUUCCUGGUACACCCACUGCACCCAAAGGGUCAACAUUGCCAGCUAGUUUGGGGAAAGUCCGUUGGAAGAAGAGGGGGUCGGUGUCCCGCGGUCCUCUCCGUGCCAUUUCCAGCAGAGGUUCUGCCAGCGACAACUGGCACUGAUGGUCACCAACCCACCCUCAACCUUGACAACAUUCAUUUUGUGAUGCUUGGGAAUUUCCAGCAUUGAAUGUGAGGAAAAGAACAACCACACCUACAGCUGAUGGAAUUUUUGAGCUUUGGUAGAGUUUGCAACUCAAGUGCAGAGUCUGUAUCUGAGCAGCCACCGCAUUUGAGUUUACCAGUUUACCAAAGUGAUAAAAUAUGGGUUUCUAGAGAUCGUUUGGUUUAGGAAAUUGAUGGGUUCAGUCAUGCUGGUUUAAAUGUCAUCUGUUUUCUUAAGGCUAUGAGACAAAACCAAAGCUGUUCAUCUGAGCUGAACCGGUGUCUAGUUUUAAAGCCAUGUAUGUAUCACAGAGUUGAGUUUUUCAAGUCCGUCUCCUCCUGUGUACAGUACAUGUCUGGGUAGUUUGUUGAUGUGACUGAUGAGCAGUGAGACAGUUUUUGUUUGUAUUAGAGGUGUCAGAUGAGGAUCUGUGUGGAAAGUAGGUGGAUGCAUGAUGGUAAACAGUAGCAGGACCAGGACAUCACAGUAAGUGCUUUGGGAAACUGUUUCUAUCCCAAAUGCACAAAGGAAGCAAUGCUCCUUUUCAUAUGGCCAAAUCCUCCACACAUUGUAACUGAUGAUUGAAUUAAUAUUACACCCUCAAUGUGACCAUCAUUCAUGGUGUAUUAUUUACUUCAUAUUUGUAUACCAACUUGACAAUCAGCACUGGUUGUAAUUUAGCAUUGGAAAGACAGGUACUGAUUCUUGUUUCUGGUUGGUCUAUCAUAGCCAUAUCCUGCUUUGCCUGGUUCUACCUCAAUUUGCCAUUUUUAUUCAUUUGAGUUGUUCAAGGUUUGAACUUGAUAGCAUUGGUUCCUAGGUUCCAAACAGAUCAAGAGGAAUAGUGUUAGUGGUAUUGCUGUGUGCACUUAAAAUGAGAAUAUUCUCUCCAAGCACCUGCAUUCCAGCAGCUUUUUAGGCUUUUUUUUUUCUCUGUGACUGCAAGUUGUUUCACUACAUCAGCCCAUUUUUGUCUGAAAAGAAAAAAAGCCAACUAAGUCACUGUCUCCAGGCAACAGCUUAAGACAUCAGAAUGCUGACUGAUUCAAAGGUAUGCUUACAUAGAGCGUCAUGUCCUUGAAAAAGCAGCAUCUUUGCACUGCAGUUGUGUGCAGUUAUAAAUCACAUUUUUAAGUGGCCUAGUUGCAUAAACCAAGUAUUUUAAACAAGGACACGCUGCUUCGCAUGACUGGAACAAUCAAGAUUUCCUAGUAGAAAAGAUUGUCCCGCACCAUAAGUGGAUAUUUCCUUCACACUGUUACAUACGCUCACUAAGAAUUACAUCAUAUAUAACAGUAGUAUACAGUCAGUGCCUUAUGGUAUUAAAAAUUCUGCCUGAUGUGUUAUGCCAAUUACAUCAAAGGAUUUUUUGCCCCAUUUUAUCCUUAUGGAUUUUAUUUAAAAUCAUAUUAAAAUGUAUCUCGUACUACAAUGACCUCAGAUCUGUUGUUGGAUCUGUUCUGUCUGCUGUAUGAGGUGUUUAAUGUUCUAUGAAUGUUCUUGUACCUUAUUUUAAACCUAUUUUCAUGUACGUAUUUAAAUAUUAAAUGUAUUUUAUGGAAUAUUAAACUUUUUAAAAAUGAAACAUUUGUGUCCUGU
rnacentral:lncRNA from 1 species